UACGAAGGGGGCUAGCGUUGCUCGGAAUCACUGGGCGUAAAGGGUGCGUAGGCGGGUCUUUAAGUCAGGGGUGAAAUCCUGGAGCUCAACUCCAGAACUGCCUUUGAUACUGAAGAUCUUGAGUUUGGGAGAGGUGAGUGGAACUGCGAGUGUAGAGGUGAAAUUCGUAGAUAUUCGCAAGAACACCAGUGGCGAAGGCGGCUCACUGGGACGGUACUGACGCUGAGACGCGAAAGCGUGGGGAGCGAACAGG
rnacentral:rRNA from 1 species